UGCAUUAACUUAUUGUUAUUGUAGUACACCUUUUUUAAUUGUCCUACAGUUGUGGAGAGAAUUGCUUUAAAAAGGUUACCAAGUUGUUAGUCGCUUUAGUUAAAAAUGCGUAAGCCUAAUGUAAUGUAAUGACAAAAGAAAUGCAUAAAACGUUUUGUAGAUUUGUACAAUUACAUACAUUUAUUAAACAAUUACAAAAUAUAAUUGGGUAAGAGACUUAAUGAAAUUAACACAUCAGAUCUAAUUGGUUAUUAUUUCUAAUAAAGAUGUUUAGUGACCAACACAUGUACAGCAGGUACCUCAUGACACAAACAUGUCAGUUUUCUCAGCCCUGCUUUUGUCUUCCGCAGGGACCGGGUUGACAAGUGGUUAUUGGAGUGAUUGAGUGGUGGUUGGAGUGAGGAAUAGGCUGCUAGAGGCUGCUGGAGAAACAAGACUCCCUGAAGCUGAGACUGGAAAGGGCAGGCCAAGUACUUCCAUGGCAACAAGCAAGGUGGGAGGCAUGGGUUUAGGUGCAGAAGGAUUUCGAGUCUUCCUUGCCUUUUUGCUUUGACUCUUGCUUCCAAGAUGGCCAUCAUCCUGUCGCUUUUUGUUCCUAUCAGCCCUAAUUGAUUUUGCUUCAAUACGAAGCCUCAGCCUGAUGUAUGUGUUGACAAUUUUUAGUUUUAGGUCAUGGCAUGAAGGCAGUGUGCUGUGCAGGAGCAUGGCCUCUCUCUGUAGUAGUGCCACUGCAUUGGCUGACUCCAUAAGGGAAUCGGUCGUCCUUGCCCGGAACAACUGCUCCACUUUGCUGAUGAGAUCGAAGGCCUCUUGUGAUGGACGGUGUUGCUGGGUCUAUCAGUUCCUCCAGCCUCAGACCAGGACUGCAGAUGGUGUCGAACCAGUGGUCUACCUUCUCAAGGAACCAAGAUGUUGUGAGGUAAGACUGUGGCCGUUGCUCCUCCUCAGCCAGGUAUUUCAGGCCAGCACUGGUCGCUCUACUGAAGACGUGUAUGGCAGGUGACAAUGACACCGAGAUUAAAUAAAUAUGUGCUGUUGGGGUCAGAUCUUUGAAAAGUUGGGAUCUCAUUUGUCUGCUGCAUUGAAGUUGGUCAACAACAAAAAUGGGAAUGAUUUUGCAGUCAUGAAGGAUAAAUUGGUAUGUACUGUGAUAGUAUGUACUGUGUCUCUGUGUUAAGGGCCGUUCACACCAGGAACUGUAACGAUAAAUGCGUCCACACUGACCAACAAUAACAAAAGUCUCUCCUUGUGUUGAUGAAUUUGCUGGCUAAAGUUCAAUGGAUUCUGAUUGCCUGUCAGCUUUUUAUUCUCAAAAUAACUCUUGACAGAUAUAGUUGGGAAUCACAUUUUUAGUGUUGUUAUCAUUAUAGUUCAUGUGUGGAUGUAAGGUCUGGCUCCCCCAACCGACCUUGCAGAGGUCGGCCGUGUAUGGGUAUGUAAAACUCUUGCUGGUCUCUUUGGUUUCUGGUAAUAACUUGAUGUGGCAUCUGUGAAUGUCUUGUACCAAGUGUACACUGACUGUUACCUGCUCUCUCCAUUCUCCACUGUGCCUGUUCUUACCUAGGACCAAGGAUGCAGAGGACAAGAUGGGUGUGCGGUAUGACUGAAAUGAUCAGAAAAGGUCAGAAGAGGCCCUUACACAGGUUUUUCUUGAUCCAGCAUCAGCAUCUCCAACACCUCCUGUAGCACUCCAGACUCCAGCCAAAUGUGCUACCUCUUCCUUACAUUAGCCCUCUUGUAGGUGUGCAUAGUGUAUGUAGAGCAUCCUUUCCACAUUGUGUCUUCGGUUGUUCACACACAAUUAUUGUUCAGACUUGGGAAUCUAAAAUGUUUUUCAGAAUGUCUUUGAAAAUCUAAAUGAGUGUCUGCCCUCCUUUUUAUGUUGCAGUCUCACCAUCUCCCUCACAGCCUUUUUUGUGUUUUGUUCCUGUUCUUGUUGUUGAAACACACUUAUUCCACACAUUGCAAAUUUAAUAAACAAAUCUAGUGAAAACCUAAAA